rnacentral:rRNA from 1 species
GGAGUCUGGACCGUGUCUCAGUUCCAGCGUGGCUGAUCGUCCUCUCAGACCAGCUAUGGAUCAUUGCUUUGGUAGGCCAUUACCCCACCAACUGGCUAAUCCAACGCGGGCACAUCCAUCACCGAUAAAUCUUUCCCCUUGCGGGCGUAUGCGGUAUUAGCGUUCGUUUCCAAACGUUAUUCCCCAGUGAAGGGCAGUUUCCCACGCGUUACUCACUCGUGCGCCACUAACUUCAGAAUGGCAAGCCACUCUGUCGUCCGUUCGACUUGCAUGCCUAAGACCUGCCGCCAGCGUUCGUU